rfam:Clostridium aceticum strain DSM 1496, complete genome.
AUAAAUGCAAUGAAAGAGAAUAGUAAACAGACACAAGGUGAUAGAGAGCCAAUGGUUGGUGGAAAUUGGUACUGGAAACUGUUGAAUCCACUCUUAAGCAGACGGGGAAUAAGAACCCGAUCCGGUUGAUACCGUUAUCUAAUAGAAGGUCAUAGUCUAUGACAAAACAAGGUGGCACCACGUGAGUAUAGCUCUCGUCCUUGGC